rfam:Capsicum annuum cultivar Zunla-1 chromosome 5, whole genome shotgun sequence
GUGUUCGUAUAAAGGAAAGUGGGUUGGCAUUUCCCCAAAAGGAAUGGGAACAACCUUAGGGCUUUACCCAUUAGCAUAACUAACCUCCAUCUAAAUGAGAAAUAUUUGCCUUUUCCAUCUAUGUUUUUCU